ACAGCUCCCCCCUUUCCUUUCUCCCAGCAGGAAAAACGGCGGGAAACGCACUCACACCCCGAAGCCCCGGCGGGGAGGCGCGGGGCGCGGCGCCCGCGCAGCGUGAAUAUUCAUCAGGGGUGGGGCCCGAACAAUGGCCGGGCCGGCGAGCGGCGCGGGCAGCGGCCCGGACACGACGCCCGGCGCCCAGGGCUCGGUGGUAGUUACCGCAUUGGCUGGGCAUCGCUGGGCUGCGCCGACAGAUCCCAAACAGCUCCUCUAAUUGCCUGGUGCAUGCGUUCCGUGGCCUCCAUUUCCUCUUCUGUACACGGAUGAAG
rnacentral:lncRNA from 1 species